CUGCACGCGGACAAAAGGCGUUCACGUUAGCGUCUCCACUCCGUCAGGGCGCGCGGAGGUGAUCGUCGGCAGCGCGAGAUCCGCCGAGCCCGGGAGGAGCCACCACAGGCCGGAGCUCAGCGCAGUUUACCGGGACUCUUACCGCCGCCCGGCCUCCAGCACACCGCCAGCGGCCGGAUUUUACCUCGGCACAGCCCGCUACAUCCCGGCUCACAGCCCGGUACGGCUCGGCUGUCUUCAUCCAGCCGAGCUGCUCCGAUAUUUCCGCAUUUCGGUGCCAGAUGCUCCGAGUGGUUUGCAGAUUAAAGAUGGACGUGUUUGACCUUUCCUGGCCGUCUCGCUGCCAGCCCUCGAUUCCUCUCAGCUGAGUGAGCGGAGAACUGGAGCAUGAAGACAUCGAUAGCUCAGAGCAUGGCUGCAUGGACGUACAGUAGAGGAAGAGGAGGGGGAGUAAGAGCAGACUAAUGCGUAAACGAGGAGGAGGCAGCUGGUGAAGGGAAACAAAAGAUGCUGUUUCAUCUAGAUUUUCACUUUACAGUUAUUAUUUUUCUGUGACAUCUGACAAAGUUUGUGCAGAUAUGGAAUAAAAACCAUCUGAGACACAAUGUGUCGGACACGAGACCUCGCAGCGUCACAUAGCUACGCGCUCAGCGUGUUUGCUUCCGUUCUCUGACGGUUUUCCAUUAAGUUACAGAGCUGAGUAUGUUCUGAUAUGUUUCUCUCUGCUGUCCAUUAAUCACAUCUGCCUGCAUUCACAGAGGCGCUCAUCACCUGCUGUUUUCAGCUGCAGAUGUCUUUUCUGAUAGUUUCACUGAUUGUUGGAGCUUCAGAAGAUAAACGCUGCAUGCUGAUUCCCUGCAGCUCUGUUUUCUGGCUCAUCUUCUGUGAACUGCAUUAGUGAAAGUGACUCAUAAGCACAGUACAGUCAGUCUCGGGCUCGGAUCACCCCGGUAUCCUUCAUUGAUACGGCUCUGUCGAUAACAAAGCCGUCAAGGUCAGGACACGUAAGCAGCACUCUGGCUUCUCUGCACUCUCUGCAGAUUUCAGAUCCAGACUCUGAGUUUAAUGGAGAGCUGCUCAGAUCAUUUCCAGCUCUGUGUUCGUAUCCUGGGCCUCCAGGAACAGCUUUGCAUCACUGACACUUUAAAAACUUCCUUUGAUGCCAAGUCUUCUCUGUUUUCUGUAUAAAUGAAUGAAGGUAACUGUCGGUCCACGAUUCACUGAUGAUGGCAGACACCUCAGCACUCAAACAUCGUCUUUGGGGCAAAGAGCUGCACGUUUGGUACGGAGCCCACAGGAAGCUGCAGCUGAAGUGGUGCAAAGUUCCAACUAGUUUGCAGUGAAUUAAGUUACGUAAACUGGAACAAUGGAGCAAACGUGGAGCUGCCUCCUGGUAAUCCAGCCUCAGAGGGAGUGCUGUAUUUCUCGAAGCCCAUUUUUAACUGUGCAUUAGCCCACUUGUGGUGCUCCGCUAACACUCUGCGUGUGGGAAUUUGAAGGAUAAGGAUACGGGCGUCAGUAGUUUUUGGUGCUGAUAAUGGUUUUUAUCUUUGCUCUUGUGAGGUUUGCUGCUGUAAUCACAGUUCACUCGUUUCUUAUCCAUUAAACAAAUGAACAAACAGCGAGUUGACUUUACACCUGGAUUUUCAUUCAUUAAUUCAAAUGGACUCUGUGGCUCACAGCCAAACAGCCGAGGCCUUAUCCACACCGCUCAGACUCUGAGCUGACUUAUCCUCCGUGUGUUUGCUUCUCUUAUCUUAAACACACUUGUUCAUCCAGCUUAAAUCUGUCCUGUAAGUCAUCCAGCAGCCGUGACACCAAACUGGAUUAUGUGUGAGGCUUUAAAGACCCACGCAGAGAGGUCGGGGAACACCAGCGAGCGCUGACGCAGCAGGUCGUUGGUGCAGUGCACGAGAGGAGGUGAGGGAACCGAUUGGACUUUCCCCGUCGCGGCUCACAUGCAGACACUUUGAACUUUGGCACCGUGUUUGUUCAGCAUGUGUCACUUCAGAUAGGCUGCACGGUGUCUUUAUCAUGUGUCUUCAGUUAUCUAACAUGUGUCCUGGACUGUGGACGGUGACCACGAUGUAAAACUACUACAGCUGUGUUUUUUGAUUAAUAAGCACUCGUUUUGAUCCGUUCGGUAAUAAAAGUUAUUGCUGAAUGGGAACUAAUGGUUGAGAGAAUCAUCAGUCAUAAAUCAGAGGUUCAGGAACUGUCACCACUGUGAUAAAGGGUCCGUGUUUCAUUUCCAGCCCCACGUUUUUGUUCAUGAACCCCAUGAAGGUAGCUUUGCAUGAUUCACAGUUGGAAAUAAGCCUUUUUCCUCUCAUGCUGGGCCAUGUUGCAGUUCCCUGUUAUCCAACUUUCUUCUAACAGACUUUUCUUUGUAAACUUGAGAUUUGAACAUCAGGUGGGCGGAGCUUGUGAGUGAUCCCCUCUCUGAGGUCACAC
rnacentral:lncRNA from 1 species